rnacentral:rRNA from 1 species
AUUGAACGCUGGCGGCAGGCCUAACACAUGCAAGUCGAGCGAGCGGCGGACGGGUGAGUAAUGUCUGGGAAACUGCCUGAUGGAGGGGGAUAACUACUGGAAACGGUAGCUCAUACCGCAUACCAUCCGAUGUUCCCAGAUGGGAUUGACUAGUGGGGGGGGUAACGGCUCACCUAGGCGACGAUCCCUAGCUGGUCUGAGAGGAUGACCAGCCAAACGGGAACUGAGACACGGUCCAGACUCCUACGGGAGGCAGCAGUGGGGAAUAUUGAACAAGGGGCGCAAGCCUGAUGCAGCCAUGCCGCGUGGGUGAAGAAGGCCUUAGGGUUGUAAAGCACUUUCAGCGGGGAGGCGUUACCCGCAGAAGAAGCACCGGCUAACUCCGUGCCAGCAGCCGCGGUAAUAC